UAGUGAGAAUACUUUCCACUGAUCUGCACAAUGGCCUCGUCUUCAAACAACAGUAUCUCCUGGACUUCGCCAUACGAGUAGCCCGUAACGUUGGUCCAAGUAUAGCCAUAACGAAUUUGGAGGCUGAUGAAGAUAAAAUAGACAAGCUUAAUUCAUAGGAAUAAAUGAAUUCUAUGAAUCAAAAAGGGUCGCGGGCGUGCUGGAGCCUAUCCCAGCUAUCUGUGGGCGAGAGGCGGGGUACACCCUGAACUGGUCGCCAGCCAAUCCCAGGGCACAUACAAACAAACAACCAUCGGCACUCACAUUCACACCUACGGGCAAUUUAGAGUCUUCAAUCAACCUACCAUGCAUGUUUUCGGGAUGUGGGCGGAAACCGGAGUACGGAGAAACCCCCCGCAGGCAUGGGGAGAACAUGCAAACUCCACAUCGGCGGGUCGGGCUUUGAACCCCGGUCCUCAGAACUGUGAGGCAGAUGUGUUAACCAGUCGCCGACCGUGGCUCCUUCAUAUGUAAUGGCUUUGCAAAUUAAAAUGAUCACCAGGAUGUGGAGCUUAAUGUGAUUGUUCAAAGUACCUUUGUGUUAGAGAAAGAACUAGGUGCGACUUACUCGUCAAAGUGUUUAUAGCAAAUGUUCUGCAAACGAUGACUCCAGGCCUUUUUUUUUGUUUUUUUGCCUUGAUUCAGCCUUUGUGGGCUAGCAUUACCUGGAUGACUGAGAUUUUCCGCAGAAAUAAAGCAAUUUAUAUUACCCAAUAACUAUAUGUCAGGUCAAUUGAAUAUGUUGUCUAUAUAUUCUGAUCCAUAAAGACAUUUAUAAACUGUUACUAAGUAGCGAGUCACAAAACAGUGACAAACUAAUUAAUAAAGAGUUUCGAGUAUAUUGCAGUAUUUCAUGAGUGGCCCUUAAAGGGAUUCAUAUAAUAUAUCGCUA